CCAGAGUGUUCUUUUUUAUAUUGGCAUGUUAGCAGAAAGUUAUUUGUAAUUACAAAUAUUCUUUAUGGUUGAUUUCAUACUCUUUUGGACAGUUUCACACACCGAUUAGAUAAAUUCAUGGACUGAAAGUGUUUUUAUUGGAGAAUAUGUAUGCUAUUUAGUUUAUGUUAAAGCGGCAAUCAGUAGUAGAUACUAAUAAAUAAAAAUGUAUUUUGUUAAAAAGCUGUGGGAUGGAGAUGGAGAAAUGUCAAAUCUCAAAUAUAUAGAGUUAUGAAAGCAACCUUUUAUCAAAAUGAUUGCAACUAUGGAUGGCCACUAGGUUAAACUGACAUCUCUUUAAAUUAUCUGUACAUGCUAAAAUUACUCCACAGCUGAUCAUAAUUGCAUCCCACAGUUAAGUGGUGAUUUAUCAGUUUCUAAUGCAGAUGUCAAAGAUGUAUUUUAGUGUUGAUUGUUGCUCUCUAGUUGGAGUUAUCACGACAAAAUUACAUAUAUCACAAUCAUCAUGUUCAAUUGAAAUAUUAUGUAUUUUCUAAUUUCUAAGACAGCUCUAAUGAGAAAAAUAUUUUAUGAAUGCACCUUUUAUAUUUUUCCAAUUCAUGUAAUCCAGAACAAAAUAACUGUUGUAAAAUGUGUUUGUUUCUUACAACACUCCCAUGACGCCAUGUUGAAAAUGUAUAACUAUAUUAACUUAAUUAUCAUUUUCAUCAUCUGUAUUGUUCAAAAUUAAAAUGUAGGCAAUAACUGUUUAGUCAGAAGGCGCUCUUAUCCAGAACCACUUACAGGAGCAAUUAAAAAAGUUUCACCUUGUUGGCUGUUGAAUUCAUAUAAUUUAUCUUUCUGUUUGGUCAUCCAAGUAGGCUGUCUCCAAUGAAGUUAUUUGAACUUAUUCUAUAUUCUUAUGCUCCAAUAAGUAUGUUUACGGCUAUGCAUCAUCUGGUCAUCUGGUGACAAUGUUGUCAAAUAGUGUUGUCCAUCAUGUUGUCAACAUGGCAGCAUACUGCAUUGUCUGUAUGUUGGAAUUUUCAAACUUGUUCUAAUUGGGAUGGAAGAUCAACAUUGUUCAUCAAUAGCAAUCAUUUUGACACGGGAAAUCACAUUGUACUACCUAUUAAUUCAAGGUUAAUUUGUGUUACUUUUGUUUCAACCCAACUUUGACUCUGUGAAUUGAAAGGGACACUUGGCUCACAAGAAUACAGCCCUGGUCUGAAACGAAUGGCAUCAAAACAGGCACAUAGGGACCCUAGCACCUGUCCCAGAUUAUUUUAAUCACAUCCAUGUUUUUGAGCUAUAUAAUGUAUGUUUAAAUGUACUUUGUUGAGUAAAACUAACUCACUGUAUAUUUUGGGUUCUGAAGGGUAUGACAUUUUAAGUAAUAUGAGAUAUAUUCUUCAAGAAACCAUGGGUAGACAGCAAUAAGCAAAAUUCCAAAUAUGGAUGUUUUAUCAACUGAUUGCCCCUUUAAGAAUGUAAUACUUUAUAGAUACUUUAUAGAUAAAGUAUAAAUACUUAACUUACUACGUUAUUACCGGGUGUAAAAUCUCUGAAUGUGGCUUGUCGUAGUGCUACAUUAAUCUGGAAUUUGACAGCGUAGGAUUGCUUAGCUUACACUGAUGACCACUAAGCUUGUAACCAUGGAAUACUCCAUUUGUUUUGACAUGCUGUAUGGCCAAAUGUCAAUUUUUUUAUUAUGAUUUUCUACUGCAUGCCGAUCUAAAAAAUAAAAUAAUUUCACUCUCCCA
ensembl:lncRNA